CAGGCGUAGAAGACAGGUGAUGGCAAAUGCAUGUCCAAGUGGAAGCAGAGCUGUGAAAAGUAAAUCCUAGCUCCUUCUACCACUAGGUAGAUUCUUUACCCCACUGGCAUCUAUCAUCCAGGAUCACUUUGAAAUAAAAGAGGAAGAUGAAGAUAAGGAUGUAAACAAGUAAGGGGUUUAUUAAGGGAUGAGUUAAAAAACUAGGGAGGGGAAGCAAGGUAAACAGAAUGAAAUAG
rnacentral:lncRNA from 1 species